GCUGGGGCUCAGUGGUAGAGUGCUUGCCUAGCACGUGCGAGGCACUGAGUUCAAUUCUCAGCACUGCA
rnacentral:tRNA from 1 species